rnacentral:rRNA from 1 species
AGCGAACGCUGGCGGCAUGCUUAACACAUGCAAGUCGCACGGGCAGCAAUGUCAGUGGCGGACGGGUGAGUAACGCGUAGGAACGUGUCCUGAGGUGGGGGGCAACCCCGGGAAACUGGGGCUAAUACCGCAUAUGGGCUGAGGCCCAAAGCCGAGAGGCGCCUUUGGGGCGGCGUGCGUCCGCUUAGGUAGUUGGUGGGGUAAAGGCCGACCAAGCCUGCGAUCGGUAGCUGGUCUGAGAGGACGACCAGCCACACUUGGACGGCGGCCCGGCCCAGACGCGUACGGAGCGCAGCAGUGGAGAGUACUGGAGGAUGAGCGAAAGCCUGAUCCAGCCAUGCCGCGUGGGUGAAGCAGGUCUUCGGAUCGUAAUGCCCUUUCGACGGGGACGAUGAUGACGGUACCCGUAGAAGAAGCCCCGGCUAACUUCGUG